rnacentral:rRNA from 1 species
UACGGAGGGGGGCUAGCGUUAAUCGGAAUUACUGGGCGUAAAGCGUGCGCAGGCGGUUUUGUAAGUCUGUCGUGAAAGCCCCCGGGCUCAACCUGGGAAUUGCGAUGGAGACUGCAAGGCUUGAAUCUGGCAGAGGGGGGGUAGAAUUCCACGUGUAGCAGUGAAAUGCGUAGAGAUGUGGAGGAACACCGAUGGCGAAGGCAGCCCCCUGGGUCAAGAUUGACGCUCAUGCACGAAAGCGUGGGGAGCAAACAGG